rnacentral:rRNA from 1 species
GGGGGGGGGGGGGGGGGGGGGGGGGGGGGGGGGGGCGGGGGGGGGGGGGGGGCGUGGGGGGUGGGGUGGUGGGGGACGGGUGAGUAACGCGGGGGUAACCUGCCCUUAACUCUGGGAUACGCCUGGGAGGCUGGGUCUAGUCCCGGCUGGGGGCGUCCACCGCAUGGUGGGUGUGGGAAAGCUUUAUCGGUUUUGGAUGGACUCGCGGCCUAUCAGCUUGUUGGUGAGGUAAUGGCUCACCAAGGCGACGACGGGUAGCCGGCCUGAGAGGGUGACCGGCCACACUGGGACUGAGACACGGCCCAGACUCCUACGGGAGGCAGCAGUGGGGAAUAUUGCACAAUGGGCGCAAGCCUGAUGCAGCGACGCCGCGUGAGGGAUGACGGCCUUCGGGUUGUAAACCUCUUUCAGUAGGGAAGAAGCGAAAGUGACGGUACCUGCAGAAGAAGCACCGGCUAACUACGUG